rnacentral:rRNA from 1 species
AUUGAACGCUGGCGGCCGGCCUAACACAUGCAAGUCUAACGAGUGGCGGACGGGUGAGUAAUGUCUGGGAAACUGCCCGAUGGAGGGGGAUAACUACUGGAAACGGUAGCUAAUACCGCAUACCAUCGGAUGUGCCCAGAUGGGAUUAGCUAGUAGGUGGGGUAACGGCUCACCUAGGCGACGCUCCCUAGCUGGUCUGAGAGGAUGACCAGACAAACUGGAACUGAGAAACGGUCCAGACGACUACGGGAGGCAGAAGUGGGGAAUAUUGCACAAUGGGCGCAAGCCUGAUGCAGCCAGGCCGCGUGUAUGAAGAAGGCCUUCGGGUUGUAAAGUACUUUCAGCGAGGAGGCGUUACUCGCAGAAGAAGCACCGGCUAACUCCGUGCCAGCAGCCGCGGUAAUUC